rnacentral:rRNA from 1 species
UACGUAGGGGCCUAGCGUUGUCCGGAUUUAUUGGGCGUAAAGAGCUCGUAGGCGGUUUGGUAAGUCGGGUGUGAAAUCUCCACGCUCAACGUGGAGGGGCCACCCGAUACUGCCAUGACUGGAGUCCGGUAGGGGAGUGUGGAAUUCCCGGUGUAGCGGUGAAAUGCGCAGAUAUCAGGAGGAACACCGGUGGCGAAGGCGGGUCUCUGGGCCGAUAUUGACGCUGAGGAGCGAAAGCGUGGGGAGCAAACAGG